UUAUAAAAAAAAAUUAAUUAAUAAGAAAUUAAAUGAAAUCAUUAAAUUUAAAUAAUUUGGCGGUAUUUUAAAUAGUUAGAGGAAUUUGUUAGUUAAAUGAUACUCCACGAAUGGGAUAACCUGAUAUAAUUUUUAUGUAUUGUUGUAUAAAAAUUAUUUUAUAAGAAUUAUAAUUAAUAUAUUAUAUAAAAUUUGAAUUCAAAUCAAAAUGUAGAAUUAUUAGGAUUAAAUGAAUUACAAUUUAAUAUAAUAUUAGAAUUAUUUUUUUAAUUAAAGUAAUAAAAGAGGAUUUAAAAGUAAAUUUAAAUAAAUAUUUAAGUUGAAAUUUUAAUUAAAAUAUG
rnacentral:rRNA from 1 species